rnacentral:rRNA from 1 species
UAAGACAGAGGUGCCGAGCGUUAGGCGGAAUCACUGGGCUUAAAGCGUGUGUAGGCGGACUUCUAAGUACCUUGUGAAAUCCCACGGCUUAACCGUGGAACUGCUUGGUAUACUGGUUGUCUUGGGCCAUCUAGGGGCGAGCGGAACAAACGGUGGAGCGGUGAAAUGCGUAGAUAUCGUUUGGAACGCCAAUGGUGAAAACAGCUCGCUGGGGAUGUGCCGACGCUGAGACACGAAAGCCAGGGGAGCGAACGGGAUUAGAUACCCCGGUAGUCCUGGCUGUAAACGAUGUCCACUAGAUUGUGGCGGCUCUGACGCCGUCACGGUCGAAGCAAAAGUGCUAAGUGGACCGCCUGGGAAGUACGGUCGCAAGGCUA